AAUAUAUCGAACAAUAUUUACUUGAUGAAAAUCAAUUUACUCCUGCGGGAUUGGGGAGCUUUUCAACUGCAAAUCAAUGGAUAAAUGAACCGAUACCCGAGGUUUCCACCUCUCCGUCUCAGUCUCUUUGCUCUCAAACUUCCACCUCUGAUUCCUGUCUUACGCUAUCCAAUUUUAAUUGCCUCGACGUCGAUGAUUUCUUCAACUUCUCUCCCAAUUUCCCAGGUUUCGAGUCUAACCGAAUGGAUGUUUUUGAAUUUGACUCGAAACCUCAAUUUAUCCAUCUAACCGCUCCUAAGCCCUUUGAAUUUGCACCUCAAAUCACUGAACUUUCAGCUGUUAAACCUCCAGCUCCUUCGAAUUCGAGUUCCAGCUCCCAUAAUCGAAAACCGUCGCUCAAAAUAUCGUUACCGCAUAAAGUAGAGUGGAUUCAGUUCCGCAAACCGUAUUCAACUAAGGCACAGCCGACGAAUUCAAAUUCCGAAGACAAAAAUAAGCAUUACAGAGGUGUCCGACAGAGACCGUGGGGGAAGUUUGCGGCCGAGAUCCGAGAUCCGAACCGAAGAGGUUCACGGAUCUGGUUGGGAACCUUUGAUACCGCAAUAGAAGCCGCAAAGGCUUACGACCGAGCCGCUUUUAAGCUACGUGGCUCGAAAGCGAUUCUUAACUUCCCUCUAGAAGCCGGGAAGCUUGACGUAACCGCCGUCGACGGAGAGAGGAAACGGAGCAGAGGCGACGGCGCUUGGGAUGAGAAACAAGUUAAGGCCGUUAAGAGAGCAAAUGAUGACGUGACCAAAGCGAGAGAUAACGGCGAUGGGCCUUUAACGCCGUCAAAUUGGACAUCAUUUAUGGAUUGGGAUAAUGAGGCAAAGGGAAUAUUUAACAUGCCAUUGUUAUCGCCGUUAUCUCCACACCCGCCGUUAGGCUUUCAACAAGUGACGGUCAUCUAAUGAUAAUGUAUAUAAAUUCUUUUAUUUGUUUUUAGAAUUCUGGAAUUCUCUUCUUUCAAAAGAAAAAAGAAAUUGGGAUUCUAUAAAGUAGUAUCAACCUAAUUAUCCCUAAACUUUAGAUAACUUAAUUUUCAAAAACUUAACGUAACAAUCACUAAUAUUAUCGAAUUAUUACAUUUUAAUUACGCGUCAAUUAAUUUUCGUUAAUAACACUUUAAUUUGAAGGAUUAAUUAUUAAUUUAGUCCUUAAAUUUUAACUCAAAUAUCAAUUUAAUAUUAAAAUUUUUUUUCAUAUAUAUUAAAAAUAAAUAAAACUUAUUAAAGACUUUCUCCAUAUCAUCACUGUUCUGGCUUAUUUUUAUUUUCUGGAUUUUCAUCAUCUUGAAAUCAACCAUCAUCACUUAAGCUACACAAAUCUACCUCGAUCACCAUUAAAGCCCAAAGAAAAUAAACCAAUGUACUAAAAAUAGAUGAAGAAUUCAAAGUUGACAUACUCGAAUUAUAGGGAAAAAAGAACUAAAUAGGGUUUUGGCUCAGACUAUGUUAAAUUUAGUUUGAAGGUCUCAAAUGGAAUUUAGGAUGGGUAAAUCUAGACCAAAAACCUUUAAUGGAUCAAAUGGGUCGGAGUCGGAAGAGGAUGAUGAUUUGAUUUCAGCUGAGGUGGUUGAGGAGGAGGAGGAAGAUGUUGUAAAAGUUUAAGCCAGUAAGAAAGGGAACACAAGUUGGGAUUAUCAAAAUAUUUGUAAAUUUCUCAUCAAAAUUUCAUAUCUUAUAGGUUUUUGUUUAACAAUUUUUUUUAAAUAUCAAAAAUAAUAUUUUAGUUAUAAUUUAGGUGCUAAAUUAACUAUUUAAUUUUUUAAAUAAACAUAUCAUGUACUCUUUUUAAAGGAAAUUAGUGACUUAACAACGUUAGUGACUGUUAUGUAAUUUUUAAAAGUUGAGUAUAUUAAAAUAUAAUUUUUUUUAAAAAUCAAGAAAUAAUUAAUGUAGUUUACUUAAAACAAUUAAGAGGGUUCUCAUUUAAUAAAAUCUAUUAUAUUAUUAUCAAUGAUUGCUUUACGACACAGCUUACGUGCAAAAUUAAAACCUUAUCAACCAAUUUAUUUUUUCUUUUGAUUUGUUUUGUAAUAUGUUUUUUCUCAACCAAUUUCUUAAGACAACGUAUGUAAUAAAAAAUCAUUGUCAAUCUCUUACUUUCGUUAUAAAAAUACUCAUUUCAUUUAAUUUUUUAUUUGAAUUAAUUUAUUGUGUUUUACUUGUGUAUAAAGUUUGCACUUACCACAAAUUUUGAUAUUUUUUUCGUGUCUCAUUUAGCAUUUGAUUGAUUUGUAAAUUUAAAUAGUGUUUGUUCUAUCGAUAGAGUUUCAACUUGAUUGAUAUUGGUAUUAUUUUUGGUGCAAGAGGACGUAGGUAGUUCUAGGCAAUCUAUAAAAAAGAACAAAUAUUAUAAGAACAUAUGCGAUAUCAUAUUGUAGAAAUAGAUACUAACCUGUAAAAUAUAUUUAAAAAAUAUAAUCGUUUAAUUAAGUUCUUGAGCUUAAUUAAUAAUAUUAAAAUUUAUAUUUGUGUAUAAAUAUAUUUAUAUAUAAGUAUAUUAGUAUGUAUAUAUAAAAAUAUUAAAAAAUCAUUUAUGCUAAAACACACUAUACCAAUAUAAAAUACUCGUAAAAAAUAAAGUUUUGGUUGAAGUGGUUAAUAAAAUAUUUUAAAAAUGUUGGUUGCUUGAGUUCAAAUAUCACAAUAAGUAAAUUUUACGAUACAAAAAAAAAUACUUAUCAAUUAUAUAAAAUAUUCUUUAAUAAGCUUCACAAGCAGGGACGAAGCUAGAAAUUUUUUAGGAGAUCGAACUAAAUUGUCUAUUUUUACAAUAAUAAAAAUACAAUUUCACUAUUUUUAAUAACCUAUAUUUUUAUAGUUUUUAAAGAAGUGAAUUAAUUUUUUUUAUCAUUUGGGGGUCAAAGUACAAUUUUACCAUUACCAGUUUAAAUUUUAUAAAUAAAAUGAUCUAAAUGAAAAAUUUUAUUUUAAGGGGGUCGGGGUAGCCCCCUAGCUCCGCCAUUUUUCACAAAUAUAAUACAUUAUUAAACAAACUCAAAAUAAAUAGACAAAAAAAUUAUUUUAUAAAUUAAAUAAUAAGAUCAUUCCAUACCAUGCAUACAACAAUUCAUAAUUUAACAAAUAAAUAAUAAAUAAUAAAUAAUAAAAUACUUAAAUUUAAAUUUAUUUUUUUUAAUACGUAUGAGUGAAAUCAAUCAGUACAGACCGGUAUAUAUUAUAAUUUACACAGGAAUCAAACUUAAAAUUUGUUGCUCUAGUUUAAUACCAUGAUAGAAACUUAACCAAGACCCAACUAUUAACGAGGUUUUAUUUUGGUCGUUUAGGUUUAAAAUUUUCUAUUUUAGUUACUAAUGUUAUCGAUAUUUAAUAUUUUGGUCCCUCUUUCAUUGAAUCACUAAUGAAUAAUGACAUGAUCUUUUUUAUUGGUAUAAUAACAAAUUUAGCCCUCCAAUGUUUAUAGAUUCUAUCAAAUUGGUCUUAAUUCUAAAAUAAAAAAAACUUAGCCCUCAACUUCACACAUUCUAUCAAUUUAGUCAUGAUUCUUAAAAUAAAAAAGAAAACAUAUUUAAAAUUUCAUUUUCUAUAAAAAUACACAAUAUUUUAUAAAAAAAAAUACAUACAAAAUUAUAAAAAAUGAAUAUAUAUUUUCUCAGUUUAUAACAUUUGUUUAUUAAAAUAACAAUUUUAUAAAUAAAAUAAUUUAAGGGGAAAAAACAAGAAGAAUAAUUAAGUAAAUUUCGGUUUUUUUUUCUAACAUUAAUGAUCAUCGUGUGCAAAUUGAGUCAAAAACUACAACAUGAGCUUCAAAAGGGUAAGAAUCAAUGCUUUAAUGUAGUUGCCUAUAAUUUUGUAUGUAUUUUAUUAAAAAAUGAACUUUUAAUUUUUUAAAAGUUUUUUUAAUUCUUAAGAAUCAAGACUAAAUUGACAGAACAUUAGAAACUAUAAUAUUAGAGGGAUAAAUUUGUCAUUACGUCAAUAAAAAAAUGUCACAUCAACACUUCGUUAGUAAAUUAGCAAAUAAGUGACAAAAAUAUUAAAAUUUGAUAAUAUUAAUGAUUAAAAUAAAUUUUUUUAAACCUAAAGGACCAAAACAAAAAUUCGUGUGUGAAUAUUUAUAAAGUUUACCCACAAAUUUUCUAACUUUUGUCAAAUAUUUUAUCCAAAGCACAACUUCAUUUUGUCGGGAACCAACCAAGUAAAACUAAACAAAACAUAAACAAUGCUUCGAGAUUUGAAAUUAACGUUAACCACCAGGCACUAGCCGCCGCCGCCUCCUCCUCCUCCUCUGUCUUACAUACCUUUUUCAAUGAACCUGACGAUGAUUAAUGAGGAGGCUAUUCAACCAAGUCCAAAUUGUUCCUAUUUAUUUAAAUCUCAAAAUUUUGUCUCACAAGGUUUUGGUUGGUAUAAACAUAUUAAGUAAGAAAAUGAGUUUAUUUAUAAAUAAUAAUAAAAUGAAUAAAGCCUUUAAUUUAAUGUCAUUGUCCAAAAUCCAUCCAACCUAAUAAUUAUAUCUACAUAUUUCAUCAUUAUUAAUUUGAUUUCUAAUUUUAAAGGCAUUAUUUGGAAUUUGAAAUUUUGAAGUUUUAAAUUUAAGUUUAUUAUAUGUGGGCUCGAUGUAUAUAUAUAUAUAUAUUCUCAAUUUGAUUAUUUUUAAUAUAAAUAUUUUUUUUAAUAAGGGUUGAUUUUUUUAAUAAAAUGUUAAUUAAAAUAUUUUUUAAUAAUUCAUGUUAACAUAAUAUUAUUUAUUUCAUAAAUUAUGUUAACAAGUGAUUUAAAAAAAUUAAAAUUUAUAAUGAUUCAAACAACAUGUGUAUAUGGAUUAUUAUGUGGGCUGCUAUAAUUUUUUUAAGCUUAAUGCACAAUUUAAGUCCCUAAAGUAUAUUGCUUUUCCAGUUUCCACUGAAAUGGGCAAAAAAUCUAUGGACUAAAGUGAAAAAAACAAUAUACUUUAGGGACUGCAUUAAACUUUUUUAUUAUUUUAGAUAUAUAUUUUAUAAUAAUUAACUUUUUCUUUCACAAAGCGAAUGUGCAUGUAAUUAAUUUUGAUAGAGUUGUCUAAAUUAUUCUGAUUUGUUAGUUGGCAAAUAUAAUCAAUUAUUCAAUGAUGUAUUAUGAUAGUAACUUUUUGUAUUAUUACCUUCUUUUUUUUUUUUUUUAGAGUGUUCAGAACAGAAGGACUUAAAUCUCCUAAAUGCAACUAAGUCUUUGAGAGAUUGACCCGAUCCACAUUAACGCCUGCCAGCUCCUGAACUGUAGUUGGUUAAUAUAUGCCAUUAAUAUCUGUAUUUUGAGAAAAAUUGAGAUUUAGUCCUCUUGAGUUUAUCAAUAAAAUUUAUUAUUUAUACUUUAAAAGUUCUGAUUUUUAUUUAAAAAUUAUAGUACAAUCAUUGAUAUUUUAGGUAACUUUUAUUAAAAUUUAUUAAUUUGAUAUGUUGAUUAGACUGCUUUAAUGAGAUAUGACAUAUGUUUAAUAAAAUUGAAAAUACUACGCUCUUAACUUAAAAUUUUAAACUAAGAAAGAAAGAGAAUUUAAUUAUUAACUUUAAAAGUAAAUGGACUAAAUUUUAUUUUCCCGUAAAAGUAGAAGGACUAAAAACACAUUUUGACCAUAGUAAUUUUACAUUGCACGUCGCUUCUUGGCUGCAUCGUGGAAGCUCCUGUUGAACAGUCAGAAAAUUCAACUUGCCUUAGAUCCCUUAUAAAUACCUUUCCACUCCCCCCUUCCACUCUCAAGUGAGAGAACGAAGAAUCUACUAUUCAAACCCACAAAUAAAAAAAUCCUUAGCUUCUCAUUUUCUCUCUUGUUUUCAGUUUUUGGAUAUGGAAAGUAGCAGUGAAGUGUCGAGCAGGCUUCAAUAUAUUGAACAAUAUUUACUUGAUGAAAAUCAAUUUCCUGCUGUGGGAUUGUGGAGCUUUUCAAAUGAAAAUCAAUGGACAAAUUAUCCGAAAUCCGAGGUUUCCACCUCUCAAUCUCACUCUCUUUACCCUCAAACUUCCACCUCUGAUUCCUGUCUUACAGUAUCCAUUUUUAAUAGCCUUGACGAAGAUGAUUUCUUCAACUUCUCUACCAAUUUCCCAGGUUUCGAGUCUAACCAAAGUGAUGUUUUCGAAUUUGACUCCAAACCUCAAUCUAUCCAUCUCACCACAC
rnacentral:lncRNA from 1 species